rnacentral:rRNA from 1 species
ACGGGAGGCAGCAGUGGGGAAUAUUGGACAAUGGGGGAAACCCUGAUCCAGCGACGCCGCGUGAGUGAAGAAGUAUUUCGGUAUGUAAAGCUCUAUCAGCAAGGAAGGAAAUGACGGUACUUGACUAAGAAGCUCCGGCUAAAUACGUGCCAGCAGCCGCGGUAAUACGUAUGGAGCAAGCGUUAUCCGGAUUUACUGGGUGUAAAGGGCGUGUAGGCGGGACAUCAAGUCAGAUGUGAAAGCACGAAGCUCAACUUCGUGUCUGCAUUUGAAACUGACGUUCUUGAGUGUUGGAGAGGCUAACGGAACUCCUAGUGUAGCGGUGAAAUGCGUAGAUAUUAGGAAGAACACCAGUGGCGAAGGCGGUUAGCUGGACAAUAACUGACGCUGAGGCGCGAAAGCGUGGGUAGCAAACAGGAUUAGAUACCCUGGUA